GCCGACGUAGCUCAAUCGGCAGAGCGUCUGUCUUGUAAACAGAAGGUCAGGGGUUCGAUUCCCCUCGUCGGCUC
rnacentral:tRNA from 1 species